rnacentral:lncRNA from 11 species
AGAAAAGUACUUGGAGCAAGAGUAACAGAAAAAGACAGUCUGAAAUACAGGAGUAACUAUAGCUGACCUAAAGGUGAAGAAGUGGAGUGACACAAAGGGCUGAAGAGGGUUGAGGUGUCUGCUGUGCCUGCUGCAGAAGGGGCCAGAACACCUCUAGUCAGUCCUUCUGUCACUGCGUUCGGAACCUGGGAAUUACUUGCGAGAAGACGGUGACUCCAGGUCCCUUUCCAGCUGGAUGCGGAACAUUUUGGGCAUUAGAAUGCAUCCUGUUUUCCCAUCUACAAAUGAGCCAAAAUCAGGAUGUAUCCAUGGAAGUACAUGUGAAAAGGUAAGCAGAUUCAUUCUAAUUGACAUGAGUUUUAGUACAAAUUUCACUGAGAGUAGUGCUAACUGUGUACAUUUGGCACAACCCUAUUUUGGGGAACUUAAAUAUUGACUGAACUGCUAAUAUAUAGCAUUUCAUUUUACAUUCAAGCCUGCAGAAUAUAGUUUUGAGAAAACAAGGUCUGCUCAUUAUACAUCUGACCUGGACUAAUUAAAAUUCCAGAGUAUAAUUCCAACUUCAGUGGCAACAGUAUUAAAAACUGUUCUUGUAUCACAAGGUGAGUGUGAUAUUUUGACCAGCCAAGAUCAUGAAUAUUUGCAAUGACCCCCAAAGGUGAGGCUUCUUGGCUGUCCUAAUUAGUAGGUCCCAGCAGGCCAAUAAUUCUUCACCACUAAACUACUUUCAAUUAUGUGCAUCUCAUGUUGUUUACUGAAGUUAUGUUUAGCUUCCAAGAAUCUCUUUUGCUUCUGAGUUCUAUAUGUGUUUGCUUGGAGCUGCCAAAAUGUGAAUGGUUUAUCAGAGCGAAUGAUGUCAAACCUGAGGCAGGAAAACAUUAGAUGCUGCCUUUCCUAUUUACAUGAGUAGUACAUAUGCAAAGUUAUUGAAGGGCUUUAAUAACAAUUGAUCAUGUGUAGUGUAUUGUUGUAUUUUGCAUAAACUACACAGGAUGACAGCAGUUGGAUAUAUUGUUCAUGUGUUUGUUCUGUCGGCAUGUAUCAGGUGAUGGUGAGCAGAUCCUAAUUUUAAUCUCAGCAGGGGCAUAUAGAAAAUGAGUACUGAACACUCUACAAUAUCCACAAUCCCUCAUUGUCCACAAUUUUCACUUAUGUACAUGUGGGCAUUUGCAGAGCAUAUAUUGGCUCCAUACAAGAAAAGAAGACCAUGUGUAGUUGGAGCUCUGUGUGCCCCAUGAGCAGAAAGCACCACUCCAUUGGCUGGUUCACUUCACUUCUGUUCACACAAACAGGAUGAUUAAAGAAAGGUUAAAGGCUCUAAUUAUUUCAGCCUUCUAAAGAGAGCUUUCUGGCUGAAUGAUUAUGCUAAGCCUUAUUAGUGAUUAUGUGAAAGCUGCAGGUUAAUUAAGUCAGAAUAAAAACACUGAUUAACAUAAGGUUAUGCUAAUGCUUCAGUAAAUAUUCACUGAGCAAAUGGGUAACAUCUACCCUUCUACAAGGCCUCUCUCACCCCUGUGAUGGGAACAAAAGGGUGAUGCAUUUGAAGCAUUAACUCACCUGUUCAAUAAAUUACUUAAUGAAUGCACCAUUUAGUAUGGGAUAUUGGUUUUAUAUUCAUUCCCUUUUUGUAAGCACUAAGAAAGUUACUAAUUUCAGAAGAAUGAAUACAAAGGGAAGGUGCCUUUUUGAGAGGCCUCUUGUAUCUCCCAACAAAAAAUUUAAGAGUUGGAGUGUACAGGUCCAUUACAUCUACACAGGCAAGUAAGCCACAGUCAAGAAACAGACAUCAGAGCCACACAGUAUAAAACUUCUACAUGUAGAGUUAUGCGUUGAUUGUACUAUAUAGUCCUUGUAUUGAAUGAAAAUGUUGUACAGCCAAAUGUCAAUGGACUUGGCACCAACACAAGAAUGCCAAUGUAUGCGUCCAUCUGUAUAAAGGCAAUUGUGCAGGUAUGAGGUGGAUCCUGGUGAGAUCAUUAAACAAGGCACAGUAAGCAACAAAUGGAAAAAGAGAAAGACUUUGCUGUUGCUGUCCCUCAUCUGAUGCCACAUAAGUCUGGAAAAUGCUAAGGGACAGCAGGGAAAGCAGAAUAGAGACUCAUUGGUUGACAACAUAAAGGUGGAUAACAGCAACAGGGCAGCACAGCUCCAUCAUGUCAAAGCCCAGAAUCAGAUAAAAGACUUCCUCCAUCCAAACUGAAACUGCAUCAAUCAAGGAGGGAGAGAAGAAGAAACAGGCACGGCUACAUGAUACCUAAGCCAGAAGCCAAUUAAAGAUCUUCCAUCCAUCCCAACUGCUGCUGCCCUGAUUUCAGGGGGAAAUAAGAGGCUCCCAUGCUGUCGUCUCCUUUUCAUUUUGUGCCAUGCCUUACUUAGAUUGUUAGCCUGAGGACAGGAAACUGAUUUGCUGUCUUUUUACUUGUAAUGAACUAUGUACAUUGAAGGCACUAUAUAAAGAAAUAACAACACUUCUCCUCUAAAGACUUCAGACCAGCAUGCUGGUUCUUUCCUUCCUUGUUUUAUACUCCUAUAACUUUGAGAGGUAUGGCUAAAACAUUAUGAUUUUUUUGAUUAAAUGAGGAUUUGAAUAAACACAGGGCUGCUACACUGACC